UAUCAAUAAGCGGAGGAAAAGAAACCAACAGGGAUUACCUCAGUAACGGCGAGUGAAGCGGUAACAGCUCAAAUUUGAAAUCUGGCUCUUUCAGGNUCCGAGUUGUAAUUUGUAGAAGAUGCUUUGGGUGUGGCCCUGGUCUAAGUUCCUUGGAACAGGACGUCAUAGAGGGUGAGAAUCCCGUAUGUGACUAGGUGCUUUCGCCCGUGUAAAGCUCUUUCGACGAGUCGAGUUGUUUGGGAAUGCAGCUCAAAAUGGGUGGUAAAUUUCAUCUAAAGCUAAAUAUUGGCCAGAGACCGAUAGCGCACAAGUAGAGUGAUCGAAAGAUGAAAAGCACUUUGGAAAGAGAGUUAAACAGUACGUGAAAUUGUUGAAAGGGAAGCGCUUGCAACCAGACUUAGUUGCGGCCGAUCAUCUAGGGUUCUCCCUGGUGCACUCGGUCGUAUCUAGGCCAGCAUCGGUUUGGGUGGUGGGAUAAAGGCCUUGGGAAUGUAGCUUCUUUCGGGGAGUGUUAUAGCCCUCGGUGCAAUGCCGCCUACCUGGACUGAGGACCGCGCUUCGGCUAGGAUGCUGGCGUAAUGGUUGUAAGCGACC
rnacentral:rRNA from 1 species